AACGAACGCUGGCGGCGUGCCUAACACAUGCAAGUCGAACGAGAAAGGGGCUUCGGCCCUGAGUAAAGUGGCGCACGGGUGAGUAACACGUGGGUAACCUGCCUCUAAGAUUGGGAUAACCUGUCGAAAGACGAGCUAAUACCGAAUGAGACCACAGCUUCCUCGGAAGCAGAGGUCAAAGGUAGCCUCUAUUUAUAAGCUAUCACUUAGAGAUGGGCCUGCGCACCAUUAGCUAGUUGGUAGGGUAACGGCCUACCAAGGCAAAGAUGGUUAGCUGGUCUGAGAGGAUGAUCAGCCACACUGGAACUGAGACACGGUCCAGACUCCUACGGGAGGCAGCAGUGGGGAAUAUUGCGCAAUGGGCGAAAGCCUGACGCAGCAACGCCGCGUGAGUGAUGAAGGCCUUCGGGUCGUAAAGCUCUGUCGGAGGGAACGAAUGCUUUUGAGGUUAAUAGCCUCAGGAAGUGACGGUACCCUCAAAGGAAGCACCGGCUAACUCUGUGCCAGCCGCCGCCGUAACAC
rnacentral:rRNA from 1 species